GCGCGCGUAGCUCAGCUGGUUAGAGCGCUGCAUUCACAUUGCAGAGGUCCCCGGUUCAAGUCCAGGCGCGCGCA
rnacentral:tRNA from 1 species